GUCUUUGGGGACAUUUGAUAAAAUUGGAACAAUACAGAGAAGAUUAGCAUGACUCCUUCUCAAGGAUGACACACAUAAAUUGAGAAAUGGUCCAAAUAUUU